CUGAAGGUCGCGUGCUAUCGACGCACUGGCUUUGCGCACCUCUUGCUUUCUUAUCAUAAACUGUCGCGUCGUUGCUUGCUCACUUUGCAGUUAGUUUCGUGUCGGUCUCAGGUCGAUCCAGACAUAUUUUACGCGACUCGUGUUGUUUGUUCGGACUUCUGCUUUCCAAAUUCGCAUUAAAUUUGAUCACCAAUCGACUAUUUAACUGUAUCUACUAUAGUACUGCUAUGUAUUCUUUGCGCGUUUAUUGUCCGGCCAGUUUUUGAUCGCGCUGAAAGUGUAUAUUGCAACUCACGAGGUGUCGAAUUGCUAUGUGAAUCAAAUUUAUAUAUUGCUCCAUGUUGAUUUCUUCAUCAUUAGAAUGACCCAUCGUGCUGAUUAUUUGCCAUGCCUUGCAGUCCGAUGAGUUCUGCAUUGUAUUCGCUGUACCAUGGAGUCCGAUGAGUUCU